rnacentral:rRNA from 1 species
UACCGAGGGGGCAAGCGUUGUUCGGAAUUACUGGGCGUAAAGGGCGCGUAGGCGGCCUGCUAAGUCGAACGUGAAAUCCCUGGGCUCAACCCAGGAACUGCGUCCGAUACUGGUUGGCUUGAAUCCGGGAGAGGGAUGCAGAAUUCCAGGUGUAGCGGUGAAAUGCGUAGAUAUCUGGAGGAAUACCGGUGGCGAAGGCGGCAUCCUGGACCGACAUUGACGCUGAUGAGCGAAAGCUAGGGGAGCAAACCGG